UUAAUGGAGAGUUUGAUCCUGGCUCAGGACGAACGCUGGCGGCGUGCCUAAUACAUGCAAGUCGAGCGGGGUUAUUUAGAAGCUUGCUUCUAAAUAACCUAGCGGCGGACGGGUGAGUAACACGUAGGCAACCUGCCCACAAGACAGGGAUAACUACCGGAAACGGUAGCUAAUACCCGAUACAUCCUUUUCCUGCAUGGGUGAAGGAGGAAAGGCGGAGC
rnacentral:rRNA from 1 species